rnacentral:rRNA from 1 species
ACAACGGAUAGGAAUCCUUAGUGGCGGACGGGUGAGUAACGCGUGAGGAACCUGCCUUGGAGAGGGGAAUAACACAGUGAAAAUUGUGCUAAUACCGCAUGAUGCAGUUGGGUCGCAUGGCUCUGACUGCCAAAGAUUUAUCGCUCUGAGAUGGCCUCGCGUCUGAUUAGGUAGUUGGUGGGGUAACGGCCCACCAAGCCGACGAUCAGUAGCCGGACUGAGAGGUUGACCGGCCACAUUGGGACUGAGACACGGCCCAGACUCC